GUGAAUCAUCGAAUUUUUGAACGCAAAUUGCACUCUCUUCGGAGAGUAUGCCUGUUUGAGGGUCAGCCUAAAAAAAAACAACGUAGUCGCUGUUUUGCGGUGGCUAUCGUACGAAAUUUGGUCAUCGUGAGCCUUUGGGCUUUUUAAGGGGCUUAAAAAUUUCUUUUUGAUUCCAAGAACCUUUCUUAGAUUUU
rnacentral:misc_RNA from 1 species